rnacentral:rRNA from 1 species
CAGCAGCCGCGGGAAUACGUAGGUGGCAAGCGUUAUCCGGAAUUAUUGGGCGUAAAGCGCGCGUAGGCGGUUUUUUAAGUCUGAUGUGAAAGCCCACGGCUCAACCGUGGAGGGUCAUUGGAAACUGGAAAACUUGAGUGCAGAAGAGGAAAGUGGAAUUCCAUGUGUAGCGGUGAAGUGCGCAGAGAUAUGGAGGAACACCAGUGGCGAAGGCGACCUUCUGGUCUGUAACUGACGCUGAUGUGCGAAAGCGUGGGGAUCAAACAGGAUUAGAUACCCCAGUAGUCCCUGUCUCUUAUAA